rnacentral:tRNA from 1 species
UCCCUGGUAGCUCAGUCAGUAAAGAAUCUGCCUGCAGUGCAGGAGACCCGGGUUCAAGCCCUGGGUGGGGAA